ACUCAAAUGAAUUGACGGGGGCCCGCACAAGCGGUGGAGCAUGUGGUUUAAUUCGACGCAACGCGAACAACCUUACCUGGGCUUGAACUACUAGUAGUAGAAUUCUGGAAACAGAAGACGAACCGUAAAGCCGGUUGCUAGCAGAGGUGCUGCAUGGCUGUCGUCAGCUCGUGUCGUGAGAUGUUGGGUUAAGUCCCGCAACGAGCGCAACCCUUACUCUAUGUUGCCACGUCCGUAAAGGACAGCACUCUUAGAGAACCGCCUCGGACAACGGGGAGGAAGGUGGGGAUGACGUCAAGUCACCAUGGCCUUUAUGUCCAGGGCUACACACGUGCUACAAUGGCCGGUACAGCGAGCAGCAAGUCCGCAAGGACAAGCAAAUCUCUUAAAGCCGGCCCCAGUUCAGAUUGUGGGCUGCAAUUCGCCCACAUGAAGGUGGAAUCGCUAGUAAUCGGGGAUCAGCUGGCCCCGGUGAAUACGUUCCCGGGCCUUGUACACACCGCCCGU
rnacentral:rRNA from 1 species